CUUGUCUGAAGAGCCCCUGAAAGUACAGAGACACCCUAGGGGUUGGAGUGCGAGCCAGAGCAGGUGGCCUGCCACGAACUGGACGGUACAUUGUCCUUGCAGCUCCAUUUCUCUAAAUACCCAAAUCAUCCAGAGAGGAGGUUCUGUGGAGAGGUCAGAGGAAGCGAUGCGUCCAGCAGCUGGCUGAGGGCAUUCUGCCCCGUGCCAGAGAUCAGAGAAGCUCUCCACAUCUGUACAGCUCUGACGAGACAAGCACCCAUAAGAUGUCGCAGUUUCCUUGAGAACUGGUCCCUCAAUGACCUCAACACUGUGCUGCCUCCAACACAACUUCCUCUGUAUAUACUUGGUCAAGUUCAGCAACUCUUCCAUCUUCACUUUUCUCUGGUAGCCUUUCCACUUCUUUUGGAACAAUAAGGAAUAGUGAUAUUAGAAUCCACUUAUGGUGGCUC
rnacentral:lncRNA from 1 species